UACGAAGGGUGCAAGCGUUACUCGGAAUUACUGGGCGUAAAGCGUGCGUAGGUGGUUUGUUAAGUCUGAUGUGAAAGCCCCGGGCUCAACCUGGGAAUGGCAUUGGAAACUGGCGAGCUUGAGUGUGGCAGAGGGGGGUGGAAUUCCGCGUGUAGCAGUGAAAUGCGUAGAGAUGCGGAGGAACACCGAUGGCGAAGGCAGCCCCCUGGGCUGACACUGACGCUCAGGCACGAAAGCGUGGGGAGCAAACAGG
rnacentral:rRNA from 1 species